GAUGAACGCUGGCGGCGUGCCUAAUACAUGCAAGUCGAGCGAACGGACGAGAAGCUUGCUUCUCUGAUGUUAGCGGCGGACGGGUGAGUAACACGUGGAUAACCUACCUAUAAGACUGGGAUAACUUCGGGAAACCGGAGCUAAUACCGGAUAAUAUUUUGAACCGCAUGGUUCAAAAGUGAAAGACGGUCUUGCUGUCACUUAUAGAUGGAUCCGCGCUGCAUUAGCUAGUUGGUAAGGUAACGGCUUACCAAGGCAACGAUGCAUGGCCGACCUGAGAGGGUGAUCGGCCACACUGGAACUGAGACACGGUCCAGACUCCUACGGGAGGCAGCAGUAGGGAAUCUUCCGCAAUGGGCGAAAGCCUGACGGAGCAACGCCGCGUGAGUGAUAAAGGUCUUCGGAUCGUAAAACUCUGUUAUUAGGGAAGAACAUAUGUGUAAGUAACUGUGCACAUCUUGACGGUACCUAAUCAGAAAGCCACGGCUAACUACGUG
rnacentral:rRNA from 1 species